CUGGAGACCGAGGCAGGGAAGCCGAGGGGCCUUCAGGAGAAGGUCGUCCUCUCCCUCCUUCAGCUGGAGGGAGCAUGGCAGCAAGUAGAGGAAUGCUGGCGCUCUUGGCCCUGCUGCUGUACUGCUGGCAGGAAGCUGAGCUCCAGCCCUUCAGAGUGUUGACAGAUAAGGGCGUUUUCCUUUUACAUCCUACAAUGUCGUUGAAACACUAACAAAGUGAACAGAAGCCUGUCCAUCCGCUAAUGCCCGGCUGCAUCCGAACCCCUCCCGGUGUCAGAGGGUCCUUUCACGGGGGCUGGCUCCAGUCCCACCCGAGUAGAGUCCGAAUGCCUGGGCUCCAUCACCUUGUCCUGACCACGUCCGCGUUGAGGAAUGAUGAGACAGUGGCCGGGGACGGCCUUCCGGGAUGUGACUCGCUGGCAGAGUGGGCAGAAGGUGCCAGAAAGGGGUGGGGCCUCCGCAGCCCCACUUCCUGCCAGGAAGCUGCCUGCUCAGACCACCUGCUCCCCCUCCACUUUCCACCUUCCUCAGAGGUCACCGAGGACGGAAGCUCAAGGAAGAGGCCUGACAGGGUGCCCCGCCCCAGCUGCCUCGGUUGGACCAGCAGGCCCUGAAGAGUCACCCACAGUUGUGGGGUCUCCUGGGAGCAGGACAUGCAGGUGCUGGCCCAGCCUGGUGGUGCAUUCCAUCCUGCCCAUACCAGCCCAGAGCUAACUGGGGGCAGUCCUGCCUCCGUCUGGGUGAGAAGGCAGGCAGUCCCCUGAGCCUGACGAUGUCACGAAAGAAGCUCACAUUCCCAACUUCUUUUCUUAAGGAAACUUAGUUUUGAGACACUUACCAAGGACAGCGUCCUUUGGGGGCUGGAAGCACCCGUGGGUCUGUAACAGAUGGGGGACGUGUGGUCCCCAAUGCUGCCUCCCGUCCCUCCAGCUGCUCGCUCCUGUUGAUGGUGGUCCUGCCCCCAGCAUCCUCAGGAACUGCUCCAUGCACGUGGAUUAAAUGGGGGCCCCUGAUGCAGCCCCGAGCCGGCCUCUCCCCUCCCCAGAUCCACUCUCCUCGUCCCCACAGUGAGCACCUUGGGUGACCUUCAGGGUCUUCUCCAGCUUUAAAGACAGUUGAGGGCAGUUUCUAAACGGUUCUCUCAAAGGCACAUUGGGUUUCCUUACUCUGCUCUGGGGUCUCCUGCCUGGGUGGGCACUGUGGCCGUGGGCCACAAGGGCUGGCCUGACCAUGAGGAGAGGAGGGAGCAGCAGCCAUGGCCUCACGAUGGAGAAGCGUACAGCCUUGUUUUCCCCAAAUUCAGCAGGGCAGAACGGCAGAGCUCCACAGUGCGCCUUCCCUGGUGGCCGGGAUGUGCACCAGGCACGUACAGAGACAGAGCUGUGACUGUCAUAACGC
rnacentral:lncRNA from 1 species